rnacentral:rRNA from 1 species
UACAGAGGGUGCAAGCGUUGUUCGGAAUUAUUGGGCGUAAAGGGCGCGUAGGCGGUUUGGACAGUCAGAUGUGAAAUUCCUGGGCUCAACCUGGGGGCUGCAUUUGAUACGUUCGGACUAGAGUGGGGAAGAGGGUCGUGGAAUUCCCAGUGUAGAGGUGAAAUGCGCAGAUAUCAGGAGGAACACCAGUGGCGAAGGCGGCUUUCUGGACGAUAACUGACGCUGAGACGCGAAAGCGUGGGGAGCAAACAGG